CUGUCUUCGCGCAUUUAAUUUCAGAACAUUUUCCUGUUCGUUAGUACUACCGAUGGACACUUUGGUCUGUUAAUAUGGCUGCCUUGUCGCUAUCAAAAUCCUGUUAAAAGAUUCCUUCGUAAAGAGGCGAAAAUGAAUUUUUCGGUCCAUAUCAUGUUUCCCUUGCUGCUGGUGUUAUUGUUUAUUACUUGCGAAGCAUCUUGGAGCGGGAUGAACUGCAGCGAAGUUAUGAAGAAACGGCGAAACAAUGAAUGUUUAAGCAACAUGGAAGUUCAUACGCGCGAGAAACGAGCAUCGAGACGGCGUAGGCGCAGACGAUACAGGAGAAAAUGCCGUAUAAGGAUAACCCGAUACAGAUGCCGAAGAAGACGAAGAAGGAGUUUUAGAUACUCCUGACAAAAGACCUACAACAGCUGUAGACUAUAGCACGUUUAGCUGAACAAAACAAGAACCUUCGUCGGAUUUGGAGGAAAGUUUCUUCGAAACGUUCCAAAAACUUUCUACGACGGUAUAUGAGACCCGAAUUGAUCUCGCCCGCGCCUAUAAACGACAAAAAUAGUUUGAAAUUACACUGCUACAAACGCAUGAAUUGUUCGCUGUAAUAAAAACAUGGCUGAACAAUGUUGUGCCCAGAACAGUGUGUAUGUGAAAAACUUGUGACAAUCGGAAAUGCUUAAAUAUUGUUUCUACUUUAUAAAAACCAUUGCUGAUCGUGAGGUUCAGCACAACAUUGUUCGGUUUUGUCUAUCAUAUGCUUGAUUUACACUAGGGAAGGAUCACAAGCCGAAACAUAAAGGGGCAAUAAAGCUUAUAUGAUCACCUGACUUUGCAUAAAAUGCGCCGCAUUUUGCUCGGAGCAAACGGCGGAAACUCUCGACCGUUUGUCCGAUUUCAUUUGUUGAAGUAUAUACAACGUCAACGUUUCAAGGAUGCAAAGACAACUUUGUUGAAUGAUGAAUAUAAUUUUUAGAACAUGUUAUAAUGUAAAUUAUAAUCUAUUUAUUGAUAUCGUAUGAUGUCAUUGAUAUAUCAGUGUCUAAUAAUAGAGUUAGUAUUUUUCAUUUUGUAAUAAAGUAAAGAUGAGAGAGACUCUCUCAAAGAGACUGUUCGCGGAUACAAGGCCAUGCAUGCAGUUAACAGGUGUUCAUUUUGCUCAGAGCUGCAUAUAUGGUC